UAGUUAUGCAACUUUGGAACUGGGGGAAGCCUUAUAGGUCAUUCAGGCCAAACGGAUUACUUGAUGGAUGGGGAAGGUGAAGCAAGGAGAAGCGGCUUGCCCAAUAUCACACAGUUUACCAUUCUAUCAAAUCUGGAGCCCAGAAGGUACUUGCUGAGCACCCACUCUCUGCCCAGUGCCCUGUUGAGACUCUGUGCCCUGCCUCAAGGAGUGCAGAAACCGGAAAUGGUGGGAAAAUGAGCAACUCUCGGGCUUAAGACUGUCCUUCGAGUUAUAGAAUGUUUCGCAGCAUCUCUGGCUUACACCCACUAGAUGCCAGUGGCAAUCUCUCCACGGUUAAGACAACUGGAAAUCUCUGCAGCUGUUGCCCAACGUCUCCUGGUAGGCAAAGUCACCCUGGCGGAGAACCACGGCGAGACGCAGUUUGAUAUGUUGGAGAGAUCGUAAAAAUCAGGAGCAAGAGAAUUGAGUCUCUUCUAUGUGGUUCGGACGUCAGUUUCCCCAUUUGAAAAAGAAAGGAAUUGUACUGUAUUCAUUCAUCCACCUGUGCAUGUGUUCCUUCAACUCAAUCGGCAAGUCGUAAGCGCUGCUGUGUGCCAGGCAUCCUUGUGGGUGUUACAGAUAGAACGCUGGCAUAAGGAAGACAUCGCCAGAAGCCUUAGAUCCAUUCCAUCCAGCACUGAAAUGGAGAGACCACAGGGAAUGGUCACAAGUGAAAACCGCAAAACUCUCAGCACAUACGGCUUUAUCCACCCCCCACACCAAGAGUCUUGAACAAGCUUGAGCAUGGCUUCUGUUAGCUGGAGGCCAUAUCCCUGGGAUAACAACUCCAGUCCUCUUUAAAUGGCCACCUGAGAAAGCUCAAAGCUGCCAAAAGAAUUUACUAUUUGUUCUAGCCAAUACCUGACUCUAAGCCCCUGACAUCACUUUUCUUAGAAGAUUUACGUUAGAAAACUUGCAAUUGUGAAUCCUUUCUUGUUCCUUGAGACUUAUCUUCUGCAAUCCAGAAAUAUCUGUCCCGAGGACCUGGGAGCCAUCCCUUGGAAUACAAUCAGCAAGAAGAUAGAGCCAGGGCCUCCCCACCUCUGUGGGCGGGCGGGACUAACUUUGACAAAAGCCACAGAGGCCUCAGCACACGGGCCACCGGCCCUUACUGUCCUUUGGUACUUCUCCUUCGGCACACCCCAGCAUUUAAAAAAGCCUCCUGUUUCUUGUUCGGUGGGGUUGAGCUCAGUUUACACACUGAAGUCUCUCCCCUACCACAGUCAGCUCCAAUAAAGUCCGUCUUGCCGUUUUUAA